UUAAGCUAUAAAGAGCAUAGGGUGGAUGCCUAGGCACUGAGAGCCGAUGAAAGACGUGAUAAGCUGCGAUAAGCUGCGGUAAGGAGCAAAUAUCCAUUGACCCGCAGAUUUCUGAAUGGGGAAACCUACGCAAGAAGACCUUGCGUACUCAUACAUGAAUACAUAGUGUAUGAGAGGGAACCCGGGGAACUGAAACAUCUAAGUACCCGGAGGAAGAGAAAGAAACAUCGAUUUCCUGAGUAGCGGCGAGCGAAAGGGAAAGAGCCCAAACCAGAGGAUUUAUCCUUUGGGGUUAGGACUGCAUAAUUGAUCUGCGAUUGAUAGGAGAACGGUCUGGGAAGUCCGGCGAGAAAGCGUGAAAGCCGCGUAUCCGAAAUCGAAAGCAGCAAGGCAGUAUCCAGAGUACCACGAGACACGAGAAACCUUGUGGGAAUGAGCGGAGACCACUCCGUAAGGCUAAAUACUACUCAGUGACCGAUAGCGCAUAGUACUGUGAAGGAAAGGUGAAAAGGACCCCGGGAGGGGAGUGAAAGAGAACCUGAAACCCUGUGUUUACAAGCUGUCGAAGCACAUAAGUGCGACGGCGUACUUUUUGUAGAACGGUCCGGCGAGUUAUGAUGAGUGGUAAGGUUAAGGACUUAAGGUCCGGAGCCGAAGCGAAAGCGAGUGUUAAAAGCACGUAGAAUCGCUUAUCAUAGACCCGAAACCGGGUGAUCUAUCCAUGUCCAGGUUGAAGCUGCCGUAAGAGGUAGUGGAGGACCGAACACACAUCCGUUGAAAAGGGUGGUGAUGAGGUGUGGAUAGGGGAGAAAUUCCAAUCGAACCCGGAGAUAGCUGGUUCUCCUCGAAAUAGCUUUAGGGCUAGCCUCUGGUUAGUCUGCCGCAGGUAGAGCACUGAAUUUCCUAGGGGGCGUCAAAGCCUACCGAAGAAUAUCAAACUGCGAAUGGCGGACAGAUGAUGCCAGGGAGUCAGACUGCACGAGAUAAGUUGGGUGGUCAAAAGGGAAAGAGCCCAGACCUACAGCUAAGGUCCCAAAGUGUGUGUUAAGUGGAAAAGGAUGUGGGAUUUCGAAGACAACUAGGAUGUUGGCUCAGAAGCAGCCACACAUUAAAAGAGUGCGUAAUAGCUCACUAGUCGAGAGGUCCUGCGCCGAAAAUGUCCGGGGCUAAAACACAACACCGAAGCUUAGGAAUUCUUUUGAAUUGGUAGAGGAGCAUUGAAGACGGAACGAAGCCAUACCGGAAGGAGUGGUGGACUGUCUUGAAGAGAGAAUGCCGGAAUGAGUAGCGAGAUUGAAGUGAGAAUCUUCAAGGCCGAAUAUCUAAGGUUUCCAGGGUAAAGCUGAUCUGCCCUGGGUAAGUCGGGGCCUAAGGCAAGGUCGAAAGACGUAGUCGAUGGAUAACAGGUUGAAAUUCCUGUACUGCAUCAAAUCAGAAAUGUGGGGACACAUGAGGGAAGCAUGAGCCGGAAAAGGAAAGUCCGGUACAAGCGCAGCAGAGGACAGAUAGGCAAAACCGUCUGUCAACUCAAGGGCGUGAUGUGGAGCGAACCAAAGUAGCGAAGCAUGUGGAGCUUGUGUCGAGAAAAGCCGCUAUAGUGUUUGAUGUACCCGUACCGUAAACCGACACAGGUGGAUGAGGAGAGAAUCCUAAGGCCGGCGGGAGAAGCAUUGUUAAGGAACUCGGCAAAAUGACCCCGUAACUUCGGGAGAAGGGGUGCUCCAGAGAUGGAGCCGCAGAGAACUGGCCCAAGCAACUGUUUAGCAAAAACACAGGUCUAUGCAAAACCGAAAGGUGAGGUAUAUGGGCUGACGCCUGCCCGGUGCUGGAAGGUUAAGAGGAGAUGUUAAUCGCAAGGUGAAGCAUUGAAUUUAAGCCCCAGUAAACGGCGGCCGUAACUAUAACGGUCCUAAGGUAGCGAAAUUCCUUGUCGGGUAAGUUC
rnacentral:rRNA from 1 species